UCUUAGGUGAUUCUCAUUAGCUCGUGGAACCUGGGGUACCCUGGGCUCCUGGACACUGCCCUGAGCCGGAGGAAGACUUGUGCUCACCUUGGAGACGGGAUGAGAAGCAGGAUCAAGAUGAAAGGCAGAUUGCCUGCUGCCUGGACAUGGAAAUUGCUCACAAUUUAGCCAUCCUCUGUGCUGUGUGCUCGGGAGCACCCAGCCCACUCACAAGUGACAGCCGAGGAAAGAGUUUUAAACAAGCAUUUGCUGGAAUGUUGACUUGCUGCGGAAGGAGAGGAAUCCUUGCAUCUUGUCGAAUGAUUAUGGCACCUGUAAAACGGUAUGAGACACAUCUGCUUAUGGUACAGCUGAAAUGUCCCACUGGAGGCUUUCUGUUGACCACUCCAUAAAUGGGUCUUUGUAAAGGUGGGAACCAAGUCUGUGCCAGGUUCUGCUCUGCAGAGAAUGCCAUCAUGAACUUCAGCCAGUGUUCACAGCACCCUAGGACUAAUCAACUAAUUAAAGUAAGCCAGACGUCCUUCUUCAAGCUCAGUAUGAAAUUCACACAACCAUCAAGACAACAGCAAAUGAACUAUAGACUCCGGCUUUCAGGCAGGCUAUUUAAGCACCAUAAAGAGCACCAAGCCAAAUCGUGGAUGAAAGAUUAGUUUGGCCUUCGAAAACAGCUACAAUUCAAUCAAAAUAUCUGAGAGAAAGGGUGGCCUCAGCAAAUCGUGUCUCAGAGCUGGGUAGCCUCAUGGCUAUGAAUGUUCUUGGCUUGAAUACUGAUAACCUUGACAGAGUGAUGCUGAUUGGAGCCUUGUGUACCUUGAAAACAGAGAAUUAGCUGCACUUGAAGUCCAGUCUUGGAAUGAGCAUGGCACCUGUCAUCAUGAAGACUCAGCUCCCCUUGAGCAGUGGAAAUAAAUGCAGCUGGUAUCCUCACACACAUCACAGACCUCAGGUCCAUCUGCCUUUGAAUGUGGAUGCACAUCGGCAGAGCGCCAGGGAUCAGGCUUUCGGCCUUGGAUGGACAACAGCAGUGGUCCCUCCUUAUUCUGAGGCUUCCAUCUUCUUGGACUUCUCUGCAUCUCUAGUUUCUGCAGUUAGGUAUUGUGGGACCACCAAGCCUCCAACUGUAUAAAACAAUCCAAUGAAAUCCAAUUACAUGUACACACAGAGAGACAUACAGACACACAGACAUAGUGACACACAGUCACACUCACACACACACACACACACAGCAUCUUUGUAAAAAGAAGUGACAAAGACAAGAGGAUCUCUAAGGCCCAUUGGCAGCCUUCCUAGCUGAAUUACUGAGCCCAAGCCAGUGAGGGGCCAUGUCUCAAUAAACAAGCUAGACAGUGUCAGAGGAAUGACCCUGAGGUUAUUCUCUGGUCUCCAUCUGCAUAGGCACACAUGUUUACCCUCGCACAUAUGAACAUGCACACACAGCAAAGGAGGAGGGGUGAGAGCCCGGCCUGAUAUCUUACAAGUCCAUUUGCUGACCAGUGGAGUUGCCCACGGGUCAGAGCAUGUCUUCUAUUUUACUCAGAGCCCGUGUGGUUUAAGACUUUUCAGGUGGGGCUCCCUUCACAGCAGCACCUCACUAAAAAGUACUCUGAGCAGAACAGAAGUCAUCCAUGGCCUCAUCCUCCAACACAUGUCUGAGUUCUUGCACCCAUCAACACAUGUUGGCCAAAGGAAACAAGUCUUUACCUAACAGAUAAAGUGAGCCCUUUCCCUGGCAAGCUAGUUAGCCUUUGCAUCUAUCUGUAUCAGGCAGAAACCAGGUCCUUGUUAGCUGGUUUCACAGUGACAGUGGUGUUUGUUUCUUCCCCGACACUCCUAGUUCAAGGUGAAGAUGAUUAAUGUGUUGCCGAAGGAAUUGUACAGUAAGCUUUUCCGAUCACUGUCCCUGGAGCUACCGUGUAACUGCUCAUAGUCACAGCCAAGGCUAUUGACGAAUAGUUUCAUGACUCAUUUGGGCCGAUCCGUGAGGCCAAUUACUUCAUAAGGUGGCAUUCCAUCACAGUCCUCUUCGAUCUCGGAGUCUGGCUCAUCGAUUCGACUUUGCCGAGGAAAGCAAGAGCAGCAGUCAGAUCCGAAACCCUGAUGGUUGCAUCUGGAUUCCCCGCCUUGGUGCUUCCUGCAGCCUGCUCAUGUUUCCUUGGCCCUUUUAAUUACCCUGCCUUGAGACAGGGGGCAGCCACCUGAUGUGGAACGGGACACCAGGCAGAGUCUAUGGUCUUCCGCUCCUGAUGGGGCUCCCUUUUCCCAUAGCAGAGAU